rnacentral:rRNA from 1 species
UACGAGGGGAGCAAGCGUUGUUCGGAUUUACUGGGCGUAAAGGGCGCGUAGGCGGCGUGACAAGUCACUUGUGAAAUCUCCGGGCUUAACUCGGAACGGUCAAGUGAUACUGUCGUGCUAGAGUGCGGAAGGGGCUACUGGAAUUCUCGGUGUAGCGGUGAAAUGCGUAGAUAUCGAGAGGAACACCUGCGGCGAAGGCGGGUAGCUGGGCCGACACUGACGCUGAUGCGCGAAAGCCAGGGGAGCGAACGGG